GAUUUAAUUGGUUUUAUUUAUAAUUCCAAUUAUUAAAAGAUGAGUAAGAAUAUUGUUGGUGUUCUUAACUCAAGAGAAAAUGUUUUCAAUUAUUUAUUCAUUAAAUUUUGAAAACCCGGCUAAGUGAAUCAUAGAAUAUUAAGCACUACACCAUGACUUAAGAUUAGAAUUCAAGGAGACCUAUUGAGAAUAGAUUUCUUGUAGGCUUUGAGCAACAGGAGGAUUAGCAUUGCUAUUCCGAUUCAGAGAUAAGGAUAAACGACAGGCUUUGCCUAAUCAGGUUGAGCAGUUGAUGGAAUGGAAUGAUGUUGAGCGGGUGUUCCUUUGACAUUUCAAGAAAUGUAACCUUGAGUAUACAUCUUCAUAUGUAUAUCUCACACGUUUUCCGCUGCAAAACACUUUGAUUAAGAUAGCUCUAUGAUAUGAAGUUGUGAUACGUGUUAUUGGGUAACCACCUUAAUCAGUUCUCAAUUAUGUGUAUCCAAAUAAUCAUAUAUGAUCCUAGCAUUUUAUCUAUGAGUGACAUUUCCAUAUACUUUAAUGUUAA